rnacentral:rRNA from 1 species
UACGUAGGGUGCGAGCGUUGUCCGGAAUUACUGGGCGUAAAGAGCUCGUAGGUGGUUUGUCGCGUUGUUCGUGAAAACCGGGGGCUUAACCCUCGGCGUGCGGGCGAUACGGGCAGACUUGAGUACUGCAGGGGAGACUGGAAUUCCUGGUGUAGCGGUGGAAUGCGUAGAUAUCAAGAGGAACACCUGCGGCGAAGGCGGGUUGCUGGGCCGACACUGACGCUGAGGCGCGAAAGCCAGGGGAGCGAACGGG